UACGGAGGAUCCGAGCGUUAUCCGGAUUUAUUGGGUUUAAAGGGUGCGUAGGCGGGAGAUUAAGUCGGUGGUGAAAUUUUGCAGCUCAACUGUAAAAGUGCCAUUGAUACUGGUUUCCUUGAGUGUGGAUGAAGUAGGCGGAAUUUGUGGUGUAGCGGUGAAAUGCAUAGAUAUCACGAGGAACUCCGAUUGCGUAGGCAGCUUACUAAACCAUAACUGACGCUCAGGCACGAAGGCGUGGGGAUCGAACAGGAUUAGAUACUCCGGUA
rnacentral:rRNA from 1 species